rnacentral:rRNA from 1 species
CAGUCGAGCGGUAACAUUUCUAGGCUUGCUAGAAGAUGACGAGUGGCGGACGGGUGAGUAAUGCUUGGGAACUUGCCUUUGCGAGGGGGAUAACCCUUGGAAACGACGGCUAAUACCGCAUAAUGCCUUCGGACCAAACGGGGCUUCCGCUCCAGCGCGCAGAGAGGCCCGUGUGAAAUUAGCUAGUUGGUAAGGUAACGGCUUACCAAGGCGACGAUCUCUAGCUGUUCUGAGAGGAAGAUCAGCCACACUGGGACUGAGACACGGCCCAGACUCCUACGGGAGGCAGCAGUGGGGAAUAUUGCACAAUGGGGGAAACCCUGAUGCAUCCUUGCCGCGUGUGUGAAGAAGGCCUUCGGGUUGUAAAGCACUUUCAGUUGUGAGGAAAAGUUAGUAGUUAAUACCUGCUAGCCGUGACGUUUACAACAGAACAAGCACCGGCUAACUCCGUGCCAGCAGCCGCGGUAAUACGGAGGGUGCGAGCGUUAAUCGGAAUUACUAGGCGUAAAGCGCACGCAGGCCGUUUGUUAAGCUAGAUGUGAAAUCCCCGGGCUCAACCUGGGAUGGUCAUUUAGAACUGGCAGACUACAGUCUUGGAUAGGGGAGUGGAAUUCGA